UGGUUGAGAUCCUGGAGAAUUCAGUCAGUAAAGUGAAGAAUCUGAGCUGAGGCUCCCCUGACCAGGGCCAUGUGACCAACAGGACCGUGUCGAACAGAACCGGACCGGCUGUGCUUCUUCUGUGAAGAAGAAACUCUGCAGGCUUAUCUUUAAAUCACAACACAAUUUAUUAACAUAACAGCUCACAUCUUUUAUUCUUUAUUCAGAUUGUGGAGCUGCAGUUUCUCAGAGACCAGCUGGACGUCUCUGUUCUCAGCUCUGAAGUCCAACCCGACCCAUCUGACAGAACUGGACCUGAGCGGAACCAACCUGGAAGGUUCUGGACUGAAGGAUCUCUGUGGUUUUCUACAGACUGAAGGCUGCAGACUGGAGACAUUGAAAUUGGAUCAAUGCAGUUUGUCAAAGAUCAGCUGUGAUUAUUUGGUCUCAGCUCUGAAGUCCAACCCGACCCGUCUGACAGAACUGGACCUGAGAUGGAACAACCUGAAGGAAUCAGAUGUUCAGCAGCUGAAGGAUCUUGUUGAGACUUUAAAGAGGAGGACCGUCAGACCUCUGUGAAAAAGAGAACGGUCUCUGAAGCUGCAGGGGUUUCAGUCUGAAGAGAUUCUGACCCGGUCCAAAGUGCAGCCAACACUCCGACGAGGAUGUGUGGAUUCAGUCCGUGUGAACAUCGAGUGUUCAGAAUUAGAAUGCUCUGGCUCGUAAACAUACGAGCCAGAACUCAUAAAUAAAAUGUACUAAUAUUCAAGUUAACAGUCUGCGUUUGAAAAAUAGACACAAUGUUUUACCGUCUCUAAUGCAGCUACAGGUUAGCUUAGCAUAAAGAUGAGCUAAUAACAAAGAUCAAGUUCUGGACAAACAUAUAGAAAAACUGGAGAAAAAGACCUGAUGCACAACUACAAUGUAAUUUUUAAGAGAAACUAUAAAUGUUGUGACUAAAAAUGUUACAAACUUUCAUUUUAAACUCCUGACAUCAGUUUUGUUUCCCAGUAGAAGAAAACAAUUGUUUAAAUAUCAUGUUAAUAUCUCUAAGGAAAAUAAGAACCAAAUAGAUUUGUAAUCCAGUCACACAAAAAAGAUUUUAAUUUCAUAAUUAUUUAUGAAGUUUUCCCCAUAAUGACUUUCUGCAAAAGAAAUUCAAAAUAAAUAUAAAUUUCUGUGUUUUGUGACAAAACAACUGCAACGUCACUAAUGUUCUAGGAAGAUUUUCACAAGUGGAUAUUACACAAGAAAUCUAUUCCAUCUUUAAGUUUAAUAUGAUAAUUUAAAUUAUGACAUUAACAAUUUAAUCCUAAAUUUUAUUCACAAAUACUGAUUUCUAAAAAUCACGUGCAUUUGAAAGUCAAAAUUGAAUUUAUGGAAAUAUGGAAAAACAAAACAUUGCCAUAAAUCCUUCUUUUAACUAAAAAUGUCACAUGCAGCAAUGAAUUAUGGGUAAACCAGUUUACCCAGUUCUAAACUGGAUGUCCGACUGAUUAAUUUACAGAAACAUCCAACAUUUUAUCUGAAAAAAAAAAGAUUUUACAUAAUUUUAUAUUUUUAUAGUCACUAUAAA